rnacentral:misc_RNA from 1 species
GAUGAAGAACGCAGCGAAAUGCGAUAAGUAGUGUGAAUUGCAGAAUUCAGUGAAUCAUCGAACCUUUGAACGCAUAUUGCGCUCUCUGGUAUUCCGGAGAGCAUGCUUGUUUGAGUAUCAGUAAACACCUCAACUUCCAUAUCUUUUUUGAAAUGGGAGUUGGACUUGAGUGAUCCCAACGCUUUUCCUCACCGAAAAGUGGCGGGUUACUUGAAAUGCAGGUGCAGCUGGACUUUUCUCUGAGCUAUAAGCAUAUCUAUUUAGUCUGCCUAAAAAACAGAUUAUUACCUUUGCUGCAGCUAACAUAAAGGAGAUUAGUUCUUGUGCUGACUGAUGCAGGAUUCACAAAGACAGGCUUCGGCCGACUUUGUAAACUCGAUCUCAAAUCAAGUAAGACUACCCGCUGAACUUAAGCAUAUCAAUAAGCGGAGGA